AAAGGUAACAAUUAAUACCAUUCAGACCCUAAUGUACCAUUCUUCUCUUCCUCAGAAUAUAGCAUUUUCUCAAAUCUUUCUAAUUCAGUAUUGCUUGCAUCACCAUUUGCAGGUCUAUGUACUGGACUUGAUAUUCAACUUCCAUAAGGUUUGUCCCCACAACUCCAUGUCAUGAUUUAUGUUAAUAAACAAAUAAAUUGUAAUAAUAAUUAGUUAUUUCCAUUGAUUCUUCAAGGUGGCCACCCUGAACAAAAAAUGCUAUGUUUCCCUAAUUCCCUUAAUUAAAUAUUGUUUUGUGUUUUCAAUGCUUGGUUCAUUUGCCAUAACUAAAUAAUCUUAUAAGCGUAGAUGCUUUAUUUGAAUUUUGAUCUGAGCUAUCAUUUCAUGUGUAUAAUAUUGCCUGAAAUUUAUUCCCAAUCAUUAAUAAUGUGUCUUGCUUCAUGAUGCAAAACUAGAAAGAAAAAGCUAACAUAGACCUUAAUCAUGCUAACGCGAUGAUCUUCACGGAUAACAAAUGGAUGUAGUUUCUUAGCAGAAUAGAGAAUUAGGGGAAUAACAAGGUACUUCCAAGUUUGCAAUGAUAAAAAGGUAGAUCAGUUUCAAUUGAUUUGAUAAUUUUUUUUCCAAAUUUUGAACCAUAAAAAUGCCAUGUUACAAAGGAGAAUAAUCUGAAUAAGAUAUGUUUCAAGCAUUAGGAAAUAAAUUAAGUACAAACUCAUGACAAAUUGCAAGUUUACAUUUAGAGAAAGUUUACAUUUAAUAUACACUAUACACCUAGCAUGAUUGAAAAGAAAUAGGAAGAGUCUGAAUCAAUUUGUAGCCCUUUAUUCUAGUGCCAGUGAAUGCAGUAAAGUAAUGAAUGCAUAUAAAUAGAAUGAACCUGUGCGUACGUACGUGUGUUUUUUUGUUUGUAUUUUUUGGGAUGGAGAAAUUGAAUAGUAGAGAAAAGUAUAAUAAUGGAAAAGUUUGUUAUUUAUUUGCUUCAAUGGCAAAAGAAGAAUCAAACUGGAGCUUAGCUUUAACAAUUCAGUUUUGAAUCAAUGGGAACCAAAAUUCUAGAUAUGAGAAUUAAAAUACUUGAAAAGUGAGGUAAUGUUCUUUUUUUUAAUUUACCUUUAAUUAAAGUUGGUUUAUAAUUAUUGUUUGGAGAGUGAGGCCACUUUUACCUUUGAUUUUUUUACAUUGGUUUUGGAAUUUGCUUCUAAUGUGUUUUGUUUAAUUUAUAAUAUUUUCUGUUUGUUAAUUUAUUCCAAUGCUCCUAUUGAAAGUGUAAACCGACGGUUCACUUCAAUGACUUAUGAUCAGAAAAAUGACGAUUCUGUUUCUGAAAUCCAAUCACAGUUUGCCUAAACCAUAUUUGAGCUAUUAGAACCUGAGAACUACAUGGUAGUAAAUAAAUCUUGAUUGCAAAUUUCACUUAAUGUACCUCAUAGAUAACUAUUUCCUAUUGUUUCAAUCUGUGUCAAGUUUCAUUCCAUAUUGCGAAGCUAAAGGUGCUGUGCUUUGCAUCACUUGUGCUGGUUCUGGCCUAUAUGUUGACUCCAUAUUGGAAAGCCAGGGCAUAAUUGUCAAAGUUCGUUGCUUAGGAUCUUAAAUACUAUAUGCUAAAGAAAGACGUCAAUCCUUGUAUCUUUGGUCCAGUAGAGAAGCAGAGAUGGUCUUAUGCCUGUGCAAAGCAAAUGACUGAUAGGCUAAUAUAAGCUGAGCAUGCAGAGAAUGGCCUCAAGUUCACAAUUGUGAGACCCUAUAACUAGAUUGGCCUAAGAAUGGACUUCAUUCCCGGUGUGGAUGGACCAUGUGAUGGUGUCCCCAUAGUUCUAGCUUGCUUCAGUAAUGUAACAUCAGCUGCCUGGUUCUGUUUCUAGUAAAUGUCUUUCAUGAUUUUGAUACAUAUCAGCUACUUGAGAUGUUAAUUCUCUUUUGGGUCCUAAAGAUAUGAACUGAACUAGCCCAAACUCUAAAGGGGUGAACAGGCAUUGGAUGCUAAAAAAAUUUAAUUUUUUCAGGUACUACUAUUUCAGCACAUGGAUGAUUUGGUCUUAGAGAACAUUUGUGACCGUGUGCAAAAAGCUGGGAUGAUGGAGAGCAGUAGCAGUAGAAAGAGCAAGUUUGCAGAUGAGAUAAGUAGAAUUAACACAGGACCUCCUUCACCAACUUCAUCUAAUGAAUCCUAUGUUACAAGUUAAUUAUUAGAGCAGCGAAAAUUGUUCAAAUGAGUUAGAAAAUUGAAUAGGAGUUGCUUGUAGCAUAGGUCUUUUAAUUUACUAGUAUGAGAAAAAUUAUUUAGAGCCCUUUGGAUACCCAUUAACAACUUUUAAUUUACUCAAUACACUUUGUUGAUGAAUGGUUGUUAU